CAGCAGCCGCGGUAAAACGGAGGAUCCAAGCGUUAUCCGGAAUCAUUGGGUUUAAAGGGUCCGUAGGCGGUCUUGUAAGUCAGUGGUGAAAGCCCAUCGCUCAACGGUGGAACGGCCAUUGAUACUGCAGGACUUGAAUUAUUGGGAAGUAACUAGAAUAUGUAGUGUAGCGGUGAAAUGCUUAGAGAUUACAUGGAAUACCAAUUGCGAAGGCAGGUUACUACCAAUUGAUUGACGCUGAUGGACGAAAGCGUGGGUAGCGAACAGGAUUAGAUACCCGAGUAGUCCCUGUCUCUUAUAA
rnacentral:rRNA from 1 species